UGUCCGGAACUUGCCAGAGAUAGCUUGGUGCCCGAAAGGGAAUCGGAACACAGGUGCUGCAUGGCUGUCGUCAGCUCGUGUCGUGAGAUGUUCGGGUUAAGUCCCGCAACGAGCGCAACCCUUAUCAUUAGUUGCUACGCAAGGGCACUCUAAUGAGACUGCCGGUGACAAACCGGAGGAAGUGGGGAUGACGUCAAGUCCUCAUGGCCCUUAUGGGUAGGGCUUCACACGUCAUACAAUGGUCGGUACAGAGGGUUGCCAAGCCGCGAGGCGGAGCCAAUCCCACAAAGCCGAUCGUAGUCCGGAUUGUUCUCUGCAACUCGAGAGCAUGAAGUCGGAAUCGCUAGUAAUCGCAGGUCAGCAUACUGCGGUGAAUACGUUCCCGGGUCUU
rnacentral:rRNA from 1 species